UACGGGGGAUGCAAGCGUUAUCCGGAAUCAUUGGGCGUAAAGCGCCUGUAGGUUGUUUAUUAAGUCUGUUGUUAAAGACUGGGGCUUAACCCCAGAAAAGCAAUGGAAACUAGUAGACUAGAGUAUGGCAGGGGUAGAGGGAAUUUCUAGUGUAGCGGUGAAAUGCGUAGAUAUUAGAAAGAACACCGGUGGCGAAAGCGCUCUACUGGACCAUUACUGACACUCAGAGGCGAAAGCUAGGGUAGCAAAAGGGAUUAGAUACCCCUGUAGUCCUAGCCGUAAACGAUGGAUACUAGAUGUUGUGCUUUUUGUACAGUAUCGAAGCUAACGCGUUAAGUAUCCCGCCUGGGGAGUACGCUCGCAAGGGUG
rnacentral:rRNA from 1 species